CUUUGUUGAUCCUUAAAGGACUAUGGAACCUCCAAUGGUUUGAACAAGAACACAGUAAUUCUCUAUCAGAGACGAGUCUCGAAUUCUACAAUAGACCGGUUUAGGCAGCAGAAACAACAACAUUCACAUAUGAUGUAGAUGAUGAAGGUAGCCAGCCAAGAGAGCGAGAUUAUUUGGGUCCCCAGGAGUCCAGGUAGAUGAUCUUGGACAUCGAAUCCUCGGUGCGCCUGGCUCUCUCCACCGCUUUCUCCCCUCCUCUCCUCCACUGAUCAAUGGAAGAAGAAGACAUCCUCUUGGCCCGAGAGAACGGCGCCAUGCUGCGCUUGGCACGCCCGUGGAGGGACCUGAGCGCGUAGUUCCAUCGACACAGGCCCGCCUGAUCCUUGAGCGCCUCCACCGCCGCCACGCUCGCUGCGACGAUCAGCGAAGCCUUGCUUGCCGAAGCCAUAUGUAUCAAUCUACUACUCAGUAGUUUGAACCUGUGAUGAGUUGCAAAUGUUACAGAAGUGGGCGACGGGGAAGGGAAACACAAGCGUCCAUAUAAAGCCCCCGAGGAAGGGAAAACAGGGGAUGAGAUUGCCGCUGGUUUCGGCUCAUAGUUGUUUCCCAGAUACAAGGGGAGGCUUUUGCUUGUUUACGGAUAAGACUGUGACUGCAUUGGAAUCAGUGAGACGGAUGGUUUGGUAGGAGAAAACGUGUGGCUAAAGUAGAACAAAAGGCACACGGAUCGGAGACCUGUGGGCGGCACCAGUAAACCGGGAAUCUAACGGUUGAUCAGCCAUCCUUGCUUGGCUUGGCGAUCCUGUCGAGAUGUGAGGUUUGGUCUCUCUCUAUCUCUCUCUCUCUCUCUCUCUCACACACACAUCUUUGAGUCGAGCAACUGCGGAUGGAUUCCCUUCUUACUCCUGUUUUUGUUUCGGUAACAAAGGUCACUCAGCAUCAGUCUCUUGCUGGAUCGAUAAUAGUAUCUAUCUAAAACAAAUUCUCUCUUUUUUUAUUGUUCUUGUAUGAGCUGAAGAUAAAGAAAGGGAUAAACAUUGGUGAGAGAUGGGAGAGAGUGAUCUUUCGAAGAUGUGAUUGAUUUAGCAUAGCUUCUGCCGAUGGAUUUCAUGUCAUCCUUUGCUCCUUUUAAUCAGUUCCAUCGAAUAUAUAUGAGAUAAGACGAGAAAUGCCACAAACAUCUUGAACAAACUUAUCCAUGCCAUGAAAAGGCCUCAUCAUGUUCGAACAAUUCAGUAUAUAUUACUGCAAAAUCGGAUUGUUUUUACAUAGGAGACGUAGGCUGAACAGAGAAGAAGGAUUUGGUUCAUCUUUGAACCAAACACAAAGACACCUCUCUCUAAUUGGGACCCCAACAGCUCAAGUACACGACCGUCCUCAGUGCCUCCUCUGCUUGCUUGGCCUUCGCAUCCGCCGCCUGCCACUCUCUCCUCGUGUCGAUGGAGGAAGAUGUCCUCUUGGCCCGAGACAAGGAGCCUACGGUGUUGUUCUUCGUCCGCUGCUGCA
rnacentral:lncRNA from 1 species